AACGACCGGUCGGACCCGUAUGCCUAGCGGCCCGCGAGCCCGACCCACAAGUGGAGGCUUUCGAACUCCCACCUGACCGCCCCCAGGGCGGCGGGUCACCGGUCAGACGGUCCCGUCCCAGCGGCGGCGAUCCGUCCGAAAGCGCGCCCCGCGGCUCUCCGCGGCGGUGCUCCGGUAGUUCGAGGAGCCCCGCCUGGGAAUCGUCCGGGGCAUUUUUU
rnacentral:ncRNA from 1 species